rnacentral:lncRNA from 1 species
UUAUAGCCCUCUUGUAAAGCAGAAGGAGCUUUGCUUGGGAAGAACACCYGAGUGAUGCAUUUUGGUUUUGAUCCGUUUGGUCCCUGUUGACCAAGCAUUGUCACAGUGAAAUGGGACAGUAUAAAUCAUGCAUGAGGCAAAGUUCAGGCCUCAUGUCUCCCGUUUAUGGCUGUCUCUCCUGCCUUGUGCCCCAGACUUGAGGACUUUUGUGACCUGAUCUCUGGGAACCAGGUACCUGCAGGUGACCUGGUGUUAAAUGCAAGCAGAAGCUGAGGUGCAUUUACAGGUCUGAUGCACCCACAGGGUUUCCAGUUAACUCUGAACACUGUCAUAAUGUGUGUAUCUCUCCCUGCAAGAGCCGGGCUGGAUGUAUCCUCAGCAGAGUCAUACCAGCUGUGCAUGCUGAGUGAGUGCUCUGCAACUGUAAAGAGAUCAUCAAGCAUCUCCUGUACCAUUUUUAGGAGAUGAUAACUCGGAUCCCUGUUCAAGUUCCUUUUUGACUGAUGAAAUAUGCAUGUCAGAGCAAAUUGCUGCAAUAAGAACACCUAUGUCCUACCCAGAAGGAAGAUGUGUUUUCCAGGGCACAUCCUAGUGUGGUGUAAACAACAUGGAAGAUACUGGUUACUAGCAUUUUCUUAUUGUGUUGCAUAUAUUUUUUUCUCUAUAAAAUAAAACAUGGAGAAUGAGCUAUGUUGCCACACAGUAUCAUGUGAAACAGGUGAUUGAAAGGAAAAUCCGUAUUUCUCAAAAUGUGAUUUUUUGAAGGUCUUCCCCCAGGUAUUGGGUGACCCAUUGGCUUACGGAUUCUGUGGUCCUGUGCAUCUCUCAUCCAUGCUGCCGUUCCCUGUAAGUAAGGGAAGAAGCUAUUGCCAGGUCAGACUGGAGCAUGAGAACAUCCUGCCCUUUGCUGUGUCCUCCUGUUGCAGCCCACAGGUUUUCCAGCCACUGGAGGCUUCCUGCCAGAGAUGAAGUUGGGUGUCCUCUUGGCUGUCAUAAGGUGAGCAGAGCCCUGUCUCAGUUUCUAAACUGUCUGCGAUCAAUCCAUGUCCUCUCCAGCAGUGUUGAACUUGCCAGUGGGCCUGAUGAUGCCUUUCCGUGACAUGUGAAACCUGGCUUUCUCUGUCCAAAGAG